rnacentral:rRNA from 1 species
AAUAGAUACCCGGGUAGUCCACGCCGUAAACUAUGGAUGCUAGCUGUAAGAAGUAUCGACCCUUCUUGUAGCGAAGCUAACGCGUUAAGCAUCCCGCCUGUGGAGUACGGUCGCAAGACUAAAACAUAAAGGAAUUGACGGGGGACCCGCACAAGCGGUGGAGCGUGUUGUUUAAUUCGAUGGUAAGCGGAGAACCUUACCCAGGCUUGACAUCCUUGGAAGGCCUCCGAAAGGAGACUGUGUCUUCGGAAACCAAGUGACAGGUGAUGCAUGGCCGUCGUCAGCUCGUGUCGUGAGAUGUUUGGUUAAGUCCAUCAACGAGCGCAACCCUUAUGAAUAGUUGUAUUUUUCUAUUCAGACUGCCCUGGCAACAGGGAGGAAGGGGGGAUGAUGUCAGGUCAGUAUUUCCCUUACGUCUGGGGCUACAAACACGCUACAAUGGCCGGUACAAAGGGCAGCCAACCCGCGAGGGGGAGCAAAUCCCAUCAAAGCCGGUCUCAGUUCGGAUAGCAGGCUGAAACUCGCCUGCUUGAAGUCGGAAUCGCU